GUUAGUUAAUGUAGUAGCUGAAUGAUAUGAGAAUUGAAACGAUAUAGAGGACAUUAGCAUGGCCCCUGUUCAAGGAUGAUGCACUCAAACCAAGGUAUGGGCCAAAUAUUA
rfam:Populus trichocarpa scaffold_5_contig_147, whole genome shotgun sequence.